rnacentral:rRNA from 1 species
AGAGUUUGAUCCUGGCUCAGAGCGAACGCUGGCGGCGUGGGGGAGCACAUGCAAGUCGAACGCGCAGCAGUUUGUAGCAAUACAGAUUGUGGGCGCGUGGCGAACGGGUGCGUAACACGUGGAUAACCUUCCUUCAGGUGGGGAAUAACCCAGUGAAAAUUGGGCUAAUACCGCAUAACAUGACGAUGGCUCAUGCCGUUGUCUUCAAAGGCGCAAGUCGCCAGAAGAGGGAUCCGCGGCCGAUUAGCUAGUUGGCGAGGUAAUGGCUCACCAAGGCAUUGAUCGGUAGCCGGACUGAGAGGUUGGCCGGCCACACUGGAACUGAGACACGGUCCAGACUCCUACGGGAGGCAGCAGUGGGGAAUCUUGCACAAUGGACGAAAGUCUGAUGCAGCAACGCCGCGUGGGGGAGGAAGCUUUUCGGAAUGUAAACCCCU